rnacentral:tRNA from 1 species
UCGGAUAUGGUGUAACGGCUAACAUUGCCGCCUCUCAUUCAUCGCUGGUCGCGGCAGCUCGGGGUUCGAUUCCCCGUAUCCGAA